ACACAACUCCCAUCAACAGCAGCUCUGAAGAGGAAAGGGGCAGAGCAGAGCUUUGAGAAAUUGUGCUUGGGCUGGCAGACACGGACCAAGAGGAAAAUGAGUUUUAACUGGACCCGUUCGGGAUGAAAAGAGGACACCUCACCUGCCAGACACACCGUGAGCGAGUGCAGCACCAGCAGCUCCCAUAGCAACCUCAUCUUCAGCUCCAGGGACAGAGGAGAGCAGCCCAGGAAUCACAGAGCACAACGGGGCUCCCUGCAAAGCUCAGCCAUUCAGCAGUUGCUGCAGAGAACCAAGAGACACCAGAGGGUCGUGCACGUGUUUCAAAGCAGUUUCCAUCUCCCUGAUGUCUUCACAGGGUAAAGCAAGACAGAAAGUCUCCCCAAAGAGAAACGAUGCCUGUCUUGGCAAAAACAGCACUGAAAAGUAAAUGAGAUGAUUACCACUAAAAAUAUUUUCCUAAGGUUAAAUUAUGGUGGUUCUCGAGCCACGGCUGCAAUUCCAUUUCUCGUGAUC
rnacentral:lncRNA from 1 species